rnacentral:rRNA from 1 species
CCUACGGGAGGCUGCAGUGGGGAAUAUUGGACAAUGGGGGCAACCCUGAUCCAGCCAUGCCGCGUGUGUGAAGAAGGCCCUCGGGUUGUAAAGCACUUUCAGUGAGGAAGAACGCCUGGUGGUUAAUACCCAUCAGGAAAGACAUCACUCACAGAAGAAGCACCGGCUAACUCCGUGCCAGCAGCCGCGGUAAUACGGAGGGUGCGAGCGUUAAUCGGAAUUACUGGGCGUAAAGCGCGCGUAGGUGGCUUGAUAAGCCGGUUGUGAAAGCCCCGGGCUCAACCUGGGAACGGCAUCCGGAACUGUCAAGCUAGAGUGCAGGAGAGGAAGGUAGAAUUCCCGGUGUAGCGGUGAAAUGCGUAGAGAUCAGGAGGAAUACCAGUGGCGAAGGCGGCCUUCUGGACUGACACUGACACUGAGGUGCGAAAGCGUGGGUAGCAAACAGGAUUAGAUACCCUUGUAGUC